GAUGCUUGCUUGCUGGCACCUACUCGUCUCUUCAGCAUCAGGAAACAGUUUUAUUUUCCCAGGCCCUAACUCAGUGGCAGAACCCAUCCUUUGCACACAGAAGAACUCAGGUUCAUCUUCAUGUAGGGCUGGGGAAAGAACCCGGUUUGAAAUCCUGCUGAGAUUCUCCCAGCCAGUGCAGAUAAAACCUGCAUUAGAUGGGCCAAUAGUCUGACUUCUAUAAGAUACCUUCCUAAAUGUUGGCUGGGAGUCUAUGAGUUGUACUACCUCCAGUAUCAAGAGGCUGCAUGCCUCUGAGCACCAGUCAGAAGAUUGCUAUGGUGCUCAUGCCCUGCUUGUGGUCUUCCCACCAGCAUAUGGUUGACCAUUAUGAGAACGUGAUGCUGAACUAAAUGGGCAUAGCAUCUUUCUUAUAUUCUUAAAUAAACUUUUUUAAAGCAUU